GUAGAGUGGGAUGUUGAGGUCUCUGCAUAAUGAUCCACACAUGACUGAUCACUUGUACAAGAGUUGGAGAACCUUGCAGGGUUAUUUACUAAAUAAUCGAGAAUUGAACGUGAAUACAAAGUGAAUUUCAUAUUUAAGGUCAAAAUAGCCAAAACUAGAAAAAUUCUCUAUGUAAGCUAAGCUUUAAGCUCAGCUGCUCUGGCCUUAAAUCCGAAAUUUACUUUGAAUUUACUUCCAAAUCUGACUUUAGAAAAUAACCCUGUUAGUGGAAAGGCAUGAAACACAAGGGGAAUUCCAAUGCGUUCCAUACCACCUCAUAGUCCUGCUGCUUUAAGAC